UGGGGAAUAUUGGACAAUGGGCGAAAGCCUGAUCCAGCCAUGCAGCGUGAGUGAUGAAGGCCUUAGGGUUGUAAAGCUCUUUCACCGAUGAAGAUAAUGACGGUAGUCGGAGAAGAAGCCCCGGCUAACUCCGUGCCAGCAGCCGCGGUAAUACGAAGGGGGCUAGCGUAGUUCGGAAUUACUGGGCGUAAAGCGCACGUAGGCGGAUUGGAAAGUCAGCGGUGAGAUCCCCGGGCUCAACCUAGGAAC
rnacentral:rRNA from 1 species